GGCAGCAGUGGGGAAUUUUGGGCAAUGGGCGCAAGCCUGAUCCAGCCAUGCCGCGUGAGUGAAGAAGGCCUUCGGGUUGUAAAGCUCCUUCGGCCGGAACGAAAUCGUCCGGGCUAAUACCCCGGAUGGAUGACGGUACCGGAAGAAGAAGCACCGGCUAACUACGUGCCAGCAGCCGCGGUAAUACGUAGGGUGCAGGCGUUAAUCGGAAUUACUGGGCGUAAAGCGUGCGCAGGCGGCUACUCAAGUCAGAUGUGAAAUCCCCGGGCUUAACCUGGGAACUGCGUUUGAAACCGGGUGGCUGGAGUGCGGCAGAGGGGGGUGGAAUUCCACGUGUAGCAGUGAAAUGCGUAGAUAUGUGGAGGAACACCGAUGGCGAAGGCAGCCCCCUGGGCCUGCACUGACGCUCAUGCACGAAAGCGUGGGGCGCAAACAGGAUUAGAUACCCUGGUAGUCCACGCCCUAAACGAUGUCUACUAGUUGUCGGGUCUUAAUUGACUUGGUAACGCAGCUAACGCGUGAAGUAGACCGCCUGGGGAGUACGGUCGCAAGAUUAAAACUCAAAGGAAU
rnacentral:rRNA from 1 species